rnacentral:rRNA from 1 species
GUAGGGAGCAAGCGUUGUCCGGAAUUACUGGGAGUAAAGGGAGCGUAGGCGGGAUAGUAAGUUGAUUGUUAAAACUAUCGGCUCAACUGGUAGAUGCGAUCAAAACUGCAAUUCUUGAGUGAAGUAGAGGCAGGCGGAAUUCCUAGUGUAGCGGUGAAAUGCGUAGAUAUUAGGAGGAACACCAGUGGCGAAGGCGGCCUGCUGGGCUUUAACUGACGCUGAGGCUCGAAAGUGUGGGUAGCAAA